rnacentral:rRNA from 1 species
UAGGGAAUCUUCCACAAUGGACGCAAGUCUGAUGGAGCAACGUCGCGUGAGUGAAGAAGGUCUUCGGAUCGUAAAAACUCUGUUGUUAGAGAAGAACACGAGUGAGAGUAACUGUUCAUUCGAUGACGGUAUCUAACCAGCAAGUCACGGCUAACUACGUGCCAG